UGAUAACACAUGAUAAAAUGAAGUUCAGCUGUAGUUAAUGUAGCUGAAAAUAUGUUACAAGUACAUCUGUCUAUUUAUAAAGCAAAAUAUCUUAAGAUUUCUGAUAAAACGGAUAUAAGGCCUGUUAUUAAACUACAUUAAAGACGCUGUCUCGAAUACUUGAUUCUGAUUGGUUAAUCACAGGCGGGCCUGCAAAUAUUUCCGUUACCAUGAAUCCGUCCAGAAAACGUGUGUGUCCUUAGCGGGUUUUGCAAAUAAUUUCAAUUAGAUUAUAUUUUGCAUGUAAUACUUGAUAUAUUUUUAUUAAUUUCUAUAUUUGUUUGUUGUCAGGCGAAGUAGCCUAUAAUACGUGGGACAGCGUAGAGUCAUGAUGGCAGUUGGUAAUUUUAGCAAAAUAAAAAAACAAAAACAAAAAAAACAUCCCUGUCGCGGUUUAUUUGGCGAUAACCCCCGACUGACUGUACGUUACCCCGUACCUGCACCCCACCGACGCAAAGUAGUGACGUUCUUCAGGAAAACUCGACAGAGCAAAGCUGUCCUUGUGACGACUGACAGCGUGAACCAGAAACCCAGCUAACUGCUUCUCCAGCAGCUCCACAACAGCUUUGGCAUCUCCCUUCCUCGCAGGGCCUUCCAUCAUCUGCUUUACGCUCUCGUUGGGCACAGGCUGAGGGUUGCUGCUGAACGAGACCACCAGGAAGUCCAGCAGUUCCUUGGUCGUUUCCUGAAGGUUCCCGUUUCCUUUCUCCUUCACAAGCCUCUUGAUGUCCAGUUCAGCUUGCUCUGGAAACGAAUCCACACAUCUUUCUAUCGUUUCCUUCAUUUUUG